UACGUAGGGUGCAAGCGUUGUCCGGAAUUAUUGGGCGUAAAGAGCUCGUAGGCGGUUUGUCGCGUCUGCUGUGAAAACCCGAGGCUCAACCUCGGGCCUGCAGUGGGUACGGGCAGACUAGAGUGCGGUAGGGGAGAUUGGAAUUCCUGGUGUAGCGGUGGAAUGCGCAGAUAUCAGGAGGAACACCAAUGGCGAAGGCAGAUCGUCCUGGGCCGUAACUGACGCUGAGACACGAAAGCGUGGGUAGCAAACAGG
rnacentral:rRNA from 1 species